CCCCUCAGACCCCUCAUAUCCCUCAGACCCCUCAGGUCCCACACCACCCCUCGCCCCUCCUGUCACCCCACGUAUCCUCAUACCUGCACCUCCUCCUUCUCUCAGCCGGUCCCACAGCCUCACAGUCCCCACACCCCCCGUCGCCCCCCGACCCGUCCCCUCUCACAGCCCGCCGAGCAGCACCUCCGGUGCAGCGAGCAGAGAAACAACCCACCGAAGACCCUCUUCAUCACCACACUGCUUCCAGGCACCCAGGGCAAGGGUUUAAUGGGGUUGAGAGCAAGCUAAGCCCAAGGAGAUGCUUCCCUCAGGUGUGACCAAGUUUGACUUUGCAAUAAUUCCUGGUUAUUUUCACAGGCUAAAACCCUGUGAAAUUUCAAAGCACAAAGACACUUGGUUUCCAUGCAAGCUUAGGACACCUUCGCACAAACAUAGUUUGCUUGAGGCUGGAAGGGAUCUCUGGAGCUCAUGCAGUCCAAGCCUCCUGAUCACCCAGGAACAGCUAGAAGUCACCUGCCACCAUUUCUUUAAUGUCUCUAAGGAUAGAGACUCCAUAACAUUUCUGGGCAGUCUGUGCCCAUGCUUGGUCAUCCUCACAGAGAAAAAGAGUUUCCUGGGAUUCAGAGGGAGAGCCUUAAUUGAGUUUGUGCCCGUUGGCUCUUUCCCUGUCCCUGAGUGCUGCUGGGAAGGGUCCAGCUCUGUCCUGCUUGUUCUGCUCUCAGGUACUGGUGUGCAGCACUGAGACCCCUUCUGGACAUUCUCUGUUCCAGGCUAACCAGGAGCGGCUGUCUGAGCCUCUUCACUUCUGACAAAGGUCCUGCGGGCAUCUUCUGGGAGACAGUGCCAGAGGCUGUGCUGAAAUCCAGGUGGGCACUGUCCACAGCCUUGCCUUGGGCCACUCGGGUCAUCGCAGGAGGGCUGUGGGUUGCUCAAGCACCGCUUCCCCUCGGAGCAGCCAGCCUGGCACUUCCCAUCACUGAGCCGGGCACUUCUGUUGCUGGGUGCCCGUGGUGGUGCUUAUGGAGCGUUCUCACAUCUGUGAGUGACAGGACUCCCCGAUGGUCCCCAGACUCCAAGGGUAUUUCCUCAGAGCGCAGCUCGCAGGGUGUCCUCGCCAACGCUGCUCGGCACAGGGGCUGUGUGAGACCCUGCAGGAGGGUCAGGCUGCCCCACUGACCCCAUGUCAGCACACAGUGACACUCACCAGGUGAGUGCAGCACACCAGCACGGCAGCUGAGGGUAAACUGACAGCCAAACAAGCCACCACAGUCCUGCAAUGAGCAGCGAGUCACAGCACAGCAUCCAGCUGCACAGGACUGAUUUCGGCAUCACAGGAGAGAGAAGGUUCCAGGAGCAAUGUGAAGGGGAUUUGUGCCUUGCUAUUUUUUAAAAGUGCACGUCAGGAUCAAUGAAAAGCCUUCAUGACUAAGAGCUGGAUAAAUGGUAUGAAUAAGCCACUAAGACAAACAACAUUCCAAGGGCAGGUUCCUCAGUUACUCUUUAACCUUCUAUUUCAAAAACUAAGUUGGGAGAAUGUCCACAGAUGUUUUGGGGUUUUUUUGCCUGCAGUAGGAUUCUAAUUAUCUUUGUUUCUUUCCCUCUCUACCUCAUCCACAUUCUUAAUACUCAGUCUUUGCCAUGCAGCCUCAGAAAGGCAUGUGUACUGAGCACCCACUCUUCAGUUUACUGCUCUUCAUAGUCCUGCUGUUGGGCUAAUUCUGUGAGAUGGAGAGGCAGUGUACACUCGUGUAUAUACCAGCACUCCUGCUGCUGAAACAGUACCACUUCUGUAGUUCUUGCAGCUCUAAAUGUCCCCUUUCUUAUUCCUCCUUCCAUCCUUGCCUGCAUUGUGCUGUUGAGCUUGAUAGCCAACAUGAAUCAUUGACCAAAAAAAAAAAAAAAAA